rnacentral:siRNA from 1 species
AGAAACAACAUCGACUUCUCAC